rnacentral:rRNA from 1 species
CAACGCGAAGAACCUUAUCAGGGCUUGACAUCGUACUAAUGAAGUAGAGAUACAUUAGGUACCCUUCGGGGGAAGUAGAGACAGGUGGUGCAUGGUUGUCGUCAGCUCGUGUCGUGAGAUGUUGGGUUAAGUCCCGCAACGAGCGCAACCCUUAUUGUUAGUUGCUACGCAAGAGCACUCUAGCGAGACUGCCGUUGACAAAACGGAGGAAGGUGGGGACGACGUCAAAUCAUCAUGCCCCUUAUGUCCUGGGCUACACACGUAAUACAAUGGCGGUCAACAGAGGGAUGCAAAACCGUGAGGUGGAGCGAACCCCUAAAAGCCGUCCCAGUUCAGAUCGCAGUCUGCAACCCGACUGCGUGAAGUCGGAAUCGCUAGUAAUCGCGGAUCAGCAUGCCGCGGUGAAUACGUUCCCGGGCCUUGUACACACCGCCCGUCACACCAUGAGAGUCGGGAACACCCGAAGUCCAUAGCCUAACCGCAAGGGGGGCGCGGCCGAAGGUGGGUUCGAUAAUUGGGGUGAAGUCGUAACAAGGUAACCGU